GAGGAUCCGAGCGUUAUCCGGAUUUAUUGGGUUUAAAGGGAGCGUAGGCGGAAGCUUAAGUCAGUUGUGAAAGUUUGCGGCUUAACCGUAAAAUUGCAGUUGAUACUGGGUUUCUUGAGUGCAGCAGAGGUAGGCGGAAUUCGUGGUGUAGCGGUGAAAUGCUUAGAUAUCACGAAGAACUCCGAUUGCGAAGGCAGCUUACUGGACUGUAACUGACGCUGAUGCUCGAAAGUGUGGGUAGCAAA
rnacentral:rRNA from 1 species